AUUGAACGCUGGCGGCAGGCCUAACACAUGCAAGUCGAGCGGAUGAAGGGUUCUUGCUCCUGGAUUCCGCGGCGGACGGGCGAGUAAUGCCUAGGAAUUUGCCUUGUCGUGGGGGAUAAUGUCCGGAAACGGGCGCUAAUACCGCAUACGAUCUGAGGGCGAAAGUGGGGGAUCAUCGGAAUGCACGUUAUCAGCUGAGUCUAAGUCGUUUUCGUUAGUUGGUGGGGUAACGGGCUACCAACGCGCCGCUCCGUAACUGGUCUGAGUGGAUGAUCAGUCACGCUGGAACUGAGACACGGUCCAAACUCCUACGGGAGGCAGCAGUGGGGAAUAUUAGACAAUGGGCGAAAGCCUGAUCCAGCCAUGCCGCGUGUGUUAAGAAGGUCUUCGGAUUGUAAAACACUUAAAGUUGGGAGGAAGGGCAGUAAGUUAAUACCUUGCUGUUUUGACGGUACCAACAGAAUAAGCACCGGCUAACUUCGUG
rnacentral:rRNA from 1 species